rnacentral:ribozyme from 1 species
UGUUCGUCCUGGCGCAGACCUUUACGUGGUCCUCGGGAUAAGUACUCUCCGACCCAAGCGAGGCUAUCAGCAACCUGUAUAGGUUGUUGAUACACUCUCGGAAGAGGAAACUAACAUGCGC